rnacentral:lncRNA from 1 species
CCACGCACAGGCUGUCCCCGUCCACGGAGAUGUCCUUCCAUCCACGCACGGGCUGUCCCCGUCCACAGAGAUGUCCUUCCAUCACGCGGGAGCUGUCCCUGUCCACGGAGAUGUCCUUCCAUCCACGCAUGGGCUGUCCCUGUCCACGGAGACAUCCUUCUGCCCACUGGCUGAAGGGCACAAGGUUGUUUCCAGCUUCUGGCAGUUAUGACAGUGCUGCUGUGAACAUUCAUAUAUAGGAUUUAGUAUGAAUCUAAGUUUUCAUUUCUCUUGGAGAAAUACCUAGGAACAGGACUACUGGGUAAAUAUAUGUUUACCUUUGUAAGAAAUGCCCAAACUGUCUUCCGAAGAGGCUGUAUCAUUCUCCCUUCACCCUAGCAGUGAAGGGGAGUCUCUGCUGCUCUGGACCCUCCCCAGCCUUUCACAUUGCUGGUAUUUCGGCUGUUCUAGCACGGGUGGGUACACGGCAUCUCACGGUGGCUUCAACUUGCAGUUCCCUGAUGAAAAUGGCACUGAGCAUCUUCACAGGCUUCCUUGCCAUCUGUGGAUUAUCUCUGGGGUGGUGUCCGUUAAUAUCUUCUGUCUACUUUAAAAACUGGGUUGUUCUCUUGUUGAAUUUUGGGGGUUUC